UGCCAGCAGCCGCGGUAAUACGGAGGGGGCUAGCGUUAUUCGGAUUUACUGGGCGUAAAGCGCGCGUAGGCGGCGUACCAAGUCAGAGGUGAAAGGCCCGGGCUCAACCCGGGAACUGCCUUUGAUACUGGUAUGCUUGAGUUCUAGAGAGGGUGGCGGAAUUCCAAGUGUAGAGGUGAAAUUCGUAGAUAUUUGGAAGAACACCAGUGGCGAAGGCGGCCACCUGGCUAGAUACUGACGCUGAGGUGCGAAAGCGUGGGGAUCAAACCGGAUUAGAUA
rnacentral:rRNA from 1 species